AUUGAACGCUGGCGGCAGGCCUAACACAUGCAAGUCGAACGAGGGGCGGACGGGUGAGUAAUGUCUGGGAAACUGCCCGAUGGAGGGGGAUAACUACUGGAAACGGUCGCUAAUACCGCAUACCAUCAGAUGUGCCCUGAUGGGAUUAGCUUGUUGGUGGGGUAACGGCUCACCAAGGCGACGAUCCCUAGCUGGUCUGAGAGGAUGACCAGCCACACUGGUACUGAGACACGUUCCAGACUCCUACGUGAGGCAGCAGUGGGGAAUAUUGCACAAUGGGCUCAAGCCUGAUGCAGCCAUGCCGCGUGUAUGAAGAAGGCCGUCGGGUUGUAAAGUACUUUCAGCGGUGAGGCGUUACCCGCAGAAGAAGCACCGGCUAACUCCGUGCCAGCAGCCGCGGUAAUUC
rnacentral:rRNA from 1 species